ACAAACUUGGUCAUUUAGAGGAAGUAAAAGUCGUAACAAGGUUUCCGUAGGUGAACCUGCGGAAGGAUCAUUACAAAGGUUUCAAAUUGUCCGUGGUCUCCGCGCUUUUUCGCUGGGGAUCCACGGCAAUUUCAACCACGAUCAUCCACCCGUGUGCACUCAUUGAACUGUAAUUUUUUAUAGUUCUAAAAAAUCUUUCCAAAGUCUUAUACUGUUGUCUGAUUUUACCAAAAAACAAAAUAAUUAAUAAUACAACUUUCAACAACGGAUCUCUUGGCUCUCGCAUCAAUGAAGAACGCAGC
rnacentral:misc_RNA from 1 species